rnacentral:rRNA from 1 species
UUGGUUAAGUUAGAAAGGGCGCACGGUGGAUGCCUUGGCACUAGGAGCCGAAGAAGGACGGGACUAACACCGAUAUGCUUUGGGGAGCUGUACGUAAGCGUUGAUCCAGAGAUUUCCGAAUGGGGGAACCCACUAUCUUUAGUCGGAUAGUAUCCUUACGUGAAUACAUAGCGUGAGGAAGGCAGACCCAGGGAACUGAAACAUCUAAGUACCUGGAGGAAGAGAAAGAAAAAUCGAUUUCCUGAGUAGCGGCGAGCGAAACGGAAAGAGCCCAAACCAAGAAGCUUGCUUCUUGGGGUUGUAGGACACUCUAUACGGAGUUACAAAAGAAAGUUAUAAAUGAAGCGGUCUGGAAAGGCCCGCCAAAGACGGUAACAGCCCGGUAGUUGAAAUGGCUUUCCCUCCAGAGUGGAUCCUGAGUACGGCGGAACACGUGAAAUUCCGUCGGAAUCCGGGAGGACCAUCUCCCAAGGCUAAAUACUCCCUAGUGACCGAUAGUGAACCAGUACCGUGAGGGAAAGGUGAAAAGCACCCCGGAAGGGGAGUGAAACAGUUCCUGAAACCGUGUGCCUACAAGUAGUUAGAGCCCGUUAAUGGGUGAUAGCGUGCCUUUUGUAGAAUGAACCGGCGAGUUACGAUUUGUUGCAAGGUUAAGCGGAAAAAGCGGAGCCGUAGCGAAAGCGAGUCUGAAUAGGGCGCAUAAGUAACAGGUCGUAGACCCGAAACCAGGUGAUCUACCCAUGUCCAGGAUGAAGGUAAGGUAAUACUUACUGGAGGUCCGAACCCACGCACGUUGAAAAGUGCGGGGAUGAGGUGUGGGUAGCGGAGAAAUUCCAAUCGAACUUGGAGAUAGCUGGUUCUCUCCGAAAUAGCUUUAGGGCUAGCCUCGAGGUAAAGAGUCAUGGAGGUAGAGCACUGUUUGGACUAGGGGCCCUUCUCGGGUUACCGAAUUCAGAUAAACUCCGAAUGCCAUGUACUUAUACUCGGGAGUCAGACUGCGAGUGAUAAGAUCCGUAGUCGAAAGGGAAACAGCCCAGACCACCAGUUAAGGUCCCCAAAUAUAUGUUAAGUGGAAAAGGAUGUGGGGUUGCUUAGACAACCAGGAUGUUGGCUUAGAAGCAGCCACCAUUGAAAGAGUGCGUAAUAGCUCACUGGUCGAGUGACCCCGCGCCGAAAAUGUACCGGGGCUAAACAUAUUACCGAAACUGUGGAUGAACCUCUUUAGAGGUUCGUGGUAGGAGAGCGUUCUAAGGGCGGUGAAGUCAGACCGGAAGGACUGGUGGAGCGCUUAGAAGUGAGAAUGCCGGUAUGAGUAGCGAAAGAAGGGUGAGAAUCCCUUCCACCGAAUAUCUAAGGUUUCCUGAGGAAGGCUCGUCCGCUCAGGGUUAGUCGGGACCUAAGCCGAGGCCGAUAGGCGUAGGCGAUGGACAACAGGUAGAGAUUCCUGUACCAGUGCUAAUUGUUUAACCGAUGGGGUGACACAGAAGGAUAGGGAAUCGCACGAAUGGAAAUGUGCGUCCAAGCAGUGAGUGUGAGAAGUAGGCAAAUCCGCUUCUCGCGAAGCAUGAGCUGUGAUGGGGAAGGAAAUUAAGUACGGAAGUUCCUGAUUUCACGCUGUCAAGAAAAGCCUCUAGGAAGAGUAGUACUGCCCGUACCGCAAACCGACACAGGUAGAUGAGGAGAGAAUCCUAAGGUGAGCGAGAGAACUCUCGUUAAGGAACUCGGCAAAAUGACCCCGUAACUUCGGGAGAAGGGGUGCUCUAUUAGGGUGCAAGCCCGAGAGAGCCGCAGUGAAUAGGCCCAGGCGACUGUUUAGCAAAAACACAGGUCUCUGCAAAACCGUAAGGUGACGUAUAGGGGCUGACGCCUGCCCGGUGCUGGAAGGUUAAGAGGAGUGCUUAGCUUCGGCGAAGGUACGAAUUGAAGCCCCAGUAAACGGCGGCCGUAACUAUAACGGUCCUAAGGUAGCGAAAUUC